ensembl:processed_transcript
AGAUGGGACAACGACCAGGGACAGUGAAGAGGAAUAUCAGUCAGCUGGCUCCCACUGCUACAGCCCGCAGCCACACAGCUGGAAUACCCUCACCCUGGGCAGGGACUGCAGGCUCUCAGUCAGGGGCUGAAGGGCGGCCACGUGCUAGCCAUUGCAAACGCUCAGGGUACAUCCCUGCUGACCUUGCCCAAGACCAUGGAGAGGCAGCUGAGUCCUCAGUUUGAGGAAGACAGGAUAAGAGCCUGCUCCCGCUGGGAGAGCUGCUAGCGGCCAGUGAGAUGGAGAGGCCCGAGGAGGUCGCUGAUCAAUGGACCCUCAAGCUCGGCAGUGGUGGCCCAGGACUUUAAUUCUAGGACUCAGAAGGCAGAGGCAGGCAGAGUUCCAGGCCAACCUGGUGGUCUCCAGAGCAACAGGACAGCCGGGAGUAUGCAGUGAAACCCAACCUCGAAAAGACGAACAAACAAACAAAAAAAAAUUAUCAUAGAUUCUCCAGAACUCUGCCGCUUGACACCAUCGGGCGGAACGCACAACAGCAAACGCCCCCGCCGCGGCCAAUCAGCGACUGCCGCACACCUCUGCCUUGGCCAAUCCACAGCGGUCUUGCAGUUCCACCCCCUUACCUAGGGUGUGGGGAAGCUGGGGCGCCCCGUGCCCAACCUGGGGAGUGUCCAGAGCCU